rnacentral:lncRNA from 1 species
GGGAGAAGGAAGAAGAAACCUAUAUGACCUUUACCUAAAAUGAUUCAAGAAUUUGGGCAGGGUACUUGACAUCAGCAUAAAUUCCGUUGAGACUGGGGUUAGCCUUUCCAUGGUUACCUGAAAUUGCAAUCCUUUUCUGUUUGUAUUUGUUAGCUCUUUUAAGACCUAUGAGGCAUAUAAACUCAUUUUUACCCUACCCACUUGAAGAAAGAGGUGUGAAGUGGAUGCAUACAACAGAACAAUUUAAAGAACUAGAGGCGAGGAUUGAAUGAAGGGCUGGGAUAUAUCAAGGGUAGGAUAGAAGGGGGAAUUAAUUGUAGCUGUGAUCUAUUCAUUUUUAUUGCUCAGUUUAUUGUAUUUCAUUGUAUGAGUAUAUCUUAAAAUUUAUUCUGCUAAUUGUUGUUUAAGUUGUUUCCAGUUUUUGGCUGCUACACAUAAUGCUGCCAGGAACAUUUAUGUACGUGCCUUUUGAUGCGCGUGCAGAUGCAUUUCUGUUGCUAUGUAACCAUGAGUGGAAUUACUGGGCCAUGGGAUAUUUGGGUCAUAGGAAUAGAUAAAUAUCUUUAUUAGAUUCUGCCAAACAGUUUACCAAAGCGGUUAUGCCAAUUUAACCUCCCACCAGCAGUUUUAUAAGAGUUCCAAUUGCCCUAUAUUCUUGUCAAGAUUUGGUUUUGUUAGUAUUUUUAAUUAUGGCCAUGCUGGCAGAUGUGUGAUGAUAUCAUUUUAAUUUGCACUUACCUGCAUAACAAUGAUGUUGAGCAUUUCUUUAUAUGCUUACUGGCCUUUGGUUAUUCUCUUCUGUGAAAUACCUGUUUAAGUCAUGCCCACUUUUUUGUUGGAUUUCUUGUCUUUCACUUAUUGAUUUAUAGGAGUGUUUAAAAAUAUUCCAGUUAUGGAAACUUUUUUGAUUAUGUACAUUUCAUGUAUCUUCUCCCACUCUGACUUUUCACUCUUUUAUCUUUUGAUGAAAACAAAUGUUUGAUGUUAAUAUACUCCAAUUUUAUCAGUCUUUUCCUUCAUGGUUAGUGCUUAUGAGACCCUGUUGAGGAAAUUAUUACCCAAGGUCAUCAAGAUAUUCUGUGUUAUCUCUCAGCAGUUUUGCUGUUACACCUUUCACAUUUAGCUGAUAGGCCCGCAUCAUUUAUUGAAAACAUUGUCAAUUUCCCAGUGCUAUGCCUUUGUCAUAAAUCAAGUGUCUACAUGGGGGUCUGUUUCUGGGCUCUUUUGUCUGUUCCACUGGCCUACUUGUCUACUUGUACCACUAUCACACUGUCUUAAUUAGUGUAGCUUAUAAGUCUUGAUUUCCAGUAAAAUAAGUUGUCCAGUUUUGAAUGUCUUCAAGAUCAUCCUGGCUAUCCUUGAUCAUUUAUAUUUCCAUAAAAGUUUUAGAAUCAGUUUGUCAAUUUCACACAUGCACACACAUCUCCAGGGAUUUUCAUUAGGUUUACAGUGACUAGAGAGAAUUUGGAGAGAAUUGACAUCUAAUCCGUGAACAUGGUAUACUACAUCUAUUUAGGUUUUCUUUAAUUUCUGUGUAAAGGUCUUCCACAUCUUCCAUAAGAUUUACUCCUAGAUCUUUGAGGGUUUGCAAACUACUGUAAAUGUUGUCAUUUUAAAAAUUCCAUUGUUAAUUGUUUGUUGCUGGUAUCUAGAAACAAAUUGAUGUUUUCAUAUCAACUUUGUAUUCGACAACAUUGCUAAAUUCAUUUAUUAAUUCUAAUAGUUUAUCACUAGUUUUUUUAGAUUUUUAAAAUGCACGAUGUUAUCUGUGAAUAAUGACUUUUAAUUCUUUAUUUCAAGUCUCUACAACAUUUAUUUUCUUGUCACACUUACUAGGACCUCUGGUACAAUGCUGAAUAGAAGUGGUGAUAGUGGGCAUCCUUGUCCUCUAAUAUCAGGGGAAGAGGUUUUCAAUAUUUCACCACUAAAUAUGCUGUAGGCUUUUUGUAAAUUCUAUUUAUUAGGUAAAGAAAGAUUCCUUGUAUUCUUAGUUUGCAAACAGUUUUAUAAAACUUACAAAUGGAUGUUGAAAUUUGUCAAAUGCUUUUUCUGUGUCUAUUGAAAUGAUUACGUGGAUAUUCUGUUCACGUGUGAAUUACAUUUAUUGAUUUUAAAUGUUAAGCCAACCAUAUGUUGCUGGAGUAAACUGAAUUUGAUUAUGAUACAAUUUUUAUAUAUAUAUGAAAUUUCUUUUUUAUAUUUUGUUUAGGAUUUUUGCAUGUAUGUUCAUGAGAGACAUUGGCCUUUAAUUUUCUUUUCUUAUAGUGUCCUUGUCAAGGUUUUGGAAUCAAGAUUAUUCUGGCCUUACUGAAUGAGUUGGGAAAUGUUCUCUCAUUUUCUAUGCUUUGGAAAAAUUUGGAUAAGAUAGGAUUAUUUCUUCCUUAAAGCCUGGAAGACUUCAUUAUUGAAGCCAUCUGAACCUAGAAUUGUUGUUUGUGUGUGUUUUUUAGGAAUGCUUUUACUUAUGCAUUGAGUUUCUUUCCACACAUGUAGAGUUUGAGAUUUUGGGGGGUUACUUCCUCUUGUGUUAGUUUUGGAAAAUGAUUAGAAAUUUGUUCAUUUCAUUAAAAUUUAAAAUUUAGUGUCUGAAAGCUCAUAUUAA